UAGGGAAUCUUCCGCAAUGGACGAAAGUCUGACGGAGCAACGCUGCGUGAGUGAAGAAGGAUUUCGGUUCGUAAAACUCUGUUGUUAGGGAAGAAAAAAUGUAUAGUAACUAUAUACAAAAGAGACGGUACCUAACCAGAAAGCCACGGCUAACUACGUGCGAGCAGCCGCGGUAAUACGUAGGUGGCAAGCGUUGUCCGGAAUUAUUGGGCGUAAAGCGCGCGCAGGUGGUUUAGAAAGUCUGAUGUGAAAGCCCACGGCUCAACCGUGGAGGGUCAUUGGAAACUAAUAAACUUGAGUGCAGGAGAGAAAAGUGGAAUUCCUAGUGUAGCGGUGAAAUGCGUAGAGAUUAGGAGGAACACCGGUGGCGAAAGCGGCUUUUUGGCCUGCAACUGACACUGAGGCGCGAAAGCGUGGGGAGCAAACAGG
rnacentral:rRNA from 1 species